rnacentral:pre_miRNA from 1 species
GUUGAUUUUGCUGCAUAGAUUAUCUUUCUAUUCUAUGUUGCAGAUUCUUCAUUUGCCGCUCUGCUGAAUGAUCAUAUUGCGGGUGAAGCAAACGAAGGAUCUGCAAUAUAAACCAGAAAAGGUAAUCGUAUUUUGGCCAAUA